rnacentral:rRNA from 1 species
UAAGUAAGCUUUGAUCCAGAGAUUUCCGAAUGGGGAAACCCAGCAUGAGUUAUGUCAUGUUAUCGAUAUGUGAAUACAUAGCAUAUCAGAAGGCACACCCGGAGAACUGAAACAUCUUAGUACCCGGAGGAAGAGAAAGAAAAUUCGAUUCCCUUAGUAGCGGCGAGCGAAACGGGAAGAGCCCAAACCAACAAGCUUGCUUGUUGGGGUUGUAGGACACUCUAUACGGAGUUACAAAGGACGACAUUAGACGAAUCAUCUGGAAAGAUGAAUCAAAGAAGGUAAUAAUCCUGUAGUCGAAAAUGUUGUCUCUCUUGAGUGGAUCCUGAGUACGACGGAGCACGUGAAAUUCCGUCGGAAUCUGGGAGGACCAUCUCCUAAGGCUAAAUACUCUCUAGUGACCGAUAGUGAACCAGUACCGUGAGGGAAAGGUGAAAAGCACCCCGGAAGGGGAGUGAAAUAGAACCUGAAACCGUGUGCUUACAAGUAGUCAGAGCCCGUUAAUGGGUGAUGGCGUGCCUUUUGUAGAAUGAACCGGCGAGUUACGAUUUGAUGCAAGGUUAAGCAGUAAAUGUGGAGCCGUAGCGAAAGCGAGUCUGAAUAGGGCGUUUAGUAUUUGGUCGUAGACCCGAAACCAGGUGAUCUACCCUUGGUCAGGUUGAAGUUCAGGUAACACUGAAUGGAGGACCGAACCGACUUACGUUGAAAAGUGAGCGGAUGAACUGAGGGUAGCGGAGAAAUUCCAAUCGAACCUGGAGAUAGCUGGUUCUCUCCGAAAUAGCUUUAGGGCUAGCCUCAAGUGAUGAUUAUUGGAGGUAGAGCACUGUUUGGACGAGGGGCCCCUCUCGGGUUACCGAAUUCAGACAAACUCCGAAUGCCAAUUAAUUUAACUUGGGAGUCAGAACAUGGGUGAUAAGGUCCAUGUUCGAAAGGGAAACAGCCCAGACCACCAGCUAAGGUCCCAAAAUAUAUGUUAAGUGGAAAAGGAUGUGGCGUUGCCCAGACAACUAGGAUGUUGGCUUAGAAGCAGCCAUCAUUUAAAGAGUGCGUAAUAGCUCACUAGUCGAGUGACACUGCGCCGAAAAUGUACCGGGGCUAAACAUAUUACCGAAGCUGUGGAUUGUCCUUUGGACAAUGGUAGGAGAGCGUUCUAAGGGCGUUGAAGCAUGAUCGUAAGGACAUGUGGAGCGCUUAGAAGUGAGAAUGCCGGUGUGAGUAGCGAAAGA